GUAACGCCUGCCCAGUGAGUCUCACUUAAACGGCCGCGACUAAACGUGCAAAGGUAGCGCAAUCACUUGUUCCGUAAAUAGGGACCUGUAUGAACGGCCACAUGAGAAAGAAACUGUCUCUUGAAGAUAGCCAGUGAAACUGAUCUGCUUGUUCAAAAGCAAGCAUAAUUAAGCUAGACAAAAAGACCCUGCGAAACUUAAAGCCAAGCAUUAAACAAACUAAUGCCUAACUUUUAGUUGGGGCAACUAUGAUACACUAAACAUCUUAAAGAUCCUAAACCAACAAGUUAAAACUACUCUAACAGAGAUCCGGCACAGCCGACCAACGAACCAAGCUACUCCAGGGAUAACAGCGCCAAAUUCUUUGAGAGUCCACAUCAACAAGAAUUCUUACGACCUCGAUGUUGGAUCAGGGUAUCCAAACAGCGCAGAAGCUGUUAACGGCUCGUUUGUUCAACGACUAA
rnacentral:rRNA from 1 species